rnacentral:rRNA from 1 species
AUUGAACGCUGGCGGCAUGCCUUACACAUGCAAGUCGAACGGCAGCACGGGUGCUUGCACCUGGUGGCGAGUGGCGAAAGGGUGAGUAAUACAUCGGAACAUGUCCUGUUGUGGGGGAUAGCCCGGCGAAAGCCGGAUUAAUACCGCAUACGAUCUACGGAUGAAAGCGGGGGACCUUCGGGCCUCGCGCUAUAGGGUUGGCCGAUGGCUGAUUAGCUAGUUGGUGGGGUAAAGGCCUACCAAGGCGACGAUCAGUAGCUGGUCUGAGAGGACGACCAGCCACACUGGGACUGAGACACGGCCCAGACUCCUACGGGAGGCAGCAGUGGGGAAUUUUGGACAAUGGGCGAAAGCCUGAUGCAGCAAUGCCGCGUGUGUGAAGAAGGCCUUCGGGUUGUAAAGCACUUUUGUCCGGAAAGAAAUCCUUGGCCCUAAUACGGUCGGGGGAUGACGGUACCGGAAGAAUAAGCACCGGCUAACUACGUG